rfam:Cyanothece sp. CCY0110 1101676644593, whole genome shotgun sequence.
UCUAAAAUCGUGUGAUUUCGGUAUCUCCCAUUGAUAUUGAGUUCUCCUAGAAUACCUCGGUGAUGCGCCGAGGUUUUU